GUAACGUAGGGACCAAGGCGUUGUUCGGAUUUACUGGGCGUAAAGAGCGCGUAGGCGGCUUAACAAGUCACUUGUGAAAUCUCCGGGCUUAACUCGGAACGGCCAAGUGAAACUGUCAAGCUAGAGUGCAGAAGGGCAAUCGGAAUUCUUGGUGUAGCGGUGAAAUGCGUAGAUAUCAAGAGGAACACCUGAGGUGAAGACGGGUUGCUGGGCUGACACUGACGCUGAGGCGCGAAAGCCAGGGGAGCAAACGGG
rnacentral:rRNA from 1 species